rnacentral:rRNA from 1 species
UACGUAGGUGGCAAGCGUUAUCUGGAAUUAUUGGGCGUAAAGCGCGCGCAGGUGGUUUCUUAAGUCUGAUGUGAAAGCCCACGGCUCAACCGUGGAGGGUCAUUGGAAACUGGGAGACUUGAGUGCAGAAGAGGAAAGUGGAAUUCCAUGUGUAGCGGUGAAAUGCGUAGAGAUAUGGAGGAACACCAGUGGCGAAGGCGACUUUCUGGUCUGUAACUGACACUGAGGCGCGAAAGCGUGGGGAGCAAACAGG